rfam:Thauera sp. 27 Cont17, whole genome shotgun sequence.
UCCUCGAUCUGCUGCGGGCAGAUCCAGUGGAUGUGGCUGUCGAUACCGCCGGCGGUCAGGAUCAUGCCCUCGCCGGCGAUGACCUCGGUACCGGCACCGAUGGGGAUCGUCACCCCGGGCUGGAUGUCCGGAUUGCCGCCCUUGCCGAUCCGCCAGAUACGUCCGUCCUUGAGGGCGACGUCGGCCUUCACGAUGCCGGCGACCGCAUCGACGAUGAGCGCGUUGGUGAUGAUCGUGUCCGCCACGUCGGCCGAGACGCCCUGGCCCUGGCCCAUGCCGUCGCGGA